GCACAAGCGGUGGAUGAUGUGGAUUAAUUCGAUGCAACGCGAAAACCUUACCUACCCUUGACAUGUCUGGAGCCUUGGUGAGAGCCGAGGGUGCCUUCGGGAGCCAGAACACAGGUGCUGCAUGGCUGUCGUCAGCUCGUGUCGUGAGAUGUUGGGUUAAGUCCCGCAACGAGCGCAACCCUUAUCCCCAGUUGCCAUCAGGUAAAGCUGGGAACUCUGGGGAGACUGCCGGUGAUAAACCGGAGGAAGGCGGGGAUGACGUCAAGUCCUCAUGGCCCUUACAUCCCGGGCUACACACGUGCUACAAUGGCAGGUACAGAGGGCUGCGAAGCCGCGAGGUGGAGCGAAUCCCAGAAAACCUGUCUCAGUCCGGAUUGAAGUCUGCAACUCGACUUCAUGAAGGCGGAAUCGCUAGUAACCGCGAAUCAGCAGGUCGCGGUGAAUACGUUCCCGGGCCUU
rnacentral:rRNA from 1 species